rnacentral:rRNA from 1 species
GCUCAGGACGAACGCUGGCGGCGUGCCUAAUACAUGCAAGUAGAACGCUGAGGACUGGUGCUUGCACUGGUCUAAGGAGUUGCGAACGGGUGAGUAACGCGUAGGUAACCUACCUCAUAGCGGGGGAUAACUAUUGGAAACGAUAGCUAAUACCGCAUGACAAUAGGGUACACAUGUACCCUAUUUAAAAGGGGCAAAUGCUUCACUAUGAGAUGGACCUGCGUUGUAUUAGCUAGUUGGUAAGGUAACGGCUUACCAAGGCGACGAUACAUAGCCGACCUGAGAGGGUGAUCGGCCACACUGGGACUGAGACACGGCCCAGACUCCUACGGGAGGCAGCAGUAGGGAAUCUUCGGCAAUGGGGGGAACCCUGACCGAGCAACGCCGCGUGAGUGAAGAAGGUUUUCGGAUCGUAAAGCUCUGUUGUUAGAGAAGAACGGUAAUGGGAGUGGAAAAUCCAUUACG